GUAGGUGAACCUGCGGAAGGAUCAUUAUUGAAUAAAAUUGAACAAGGCUGUUGCUGGCCUCUCGGUUGUGCACGUCUUGUCUCAUCUUUAUCAUUUCUCCCACUGUGCACAUUUUGUAGACCCUGGAGUCUUUGGAAUUCAUUUUUCGUGUUGGGACUGCUGUGCUUAAAAGUCGGCUUUGCCUUGCAUCUCCAGGUCUAUGUUUUCAUAUAACCUCUCUGUUUGGAAUGUUCCUAUAAUAAAAGUUAUAUACAACUUUCAGCAACGGAUCUCUUGGCUCUC
rnacentral:misc_RNA from 1 species